ensembl:lncRNA
UUGAAUUUGUUACAUUCGUUUUAUUUACAUAUCAUACGAUAUUUGACUUACAAAUGUUAAUAGACAAGAAAACAUAAAUGUGACUUCAACAUCAUAUAUUGACACCCUUUCAGAGUGAUAUGGAUAAGGUGUUUAUAAUCUAUUCAACAAAGCCUCCAAGACAAUGUGAAUACAUGGUGAAAAUAAUGUACUUUUAUCAAUCACAUACAAAUCUGUAUAUUCUAUGUGAAAAAUAUCUAUUCUAAAAAAUAAAUACUUCCUUAGAUUGUGUUAAUUAACUCAAUUAUAAGUUGGUAACACAUGCAGUUAAAUACACUUGAGAGGCCAUUCCCUUUAUUUUAUUAUGAAAUCCACUAAUUCCUUGUGUCUUAUACUGCCCAAACAUAAUAAUAUAUUUACACACAUAAACAGCCAAUAUACAGACUAUAGUUUACAGUACAGGUUCAAGUGUUUUGUCCCGAGGGUUCGGAGUUAGGUAGCAGCAAAACCAUAGGAGAUUUGAAUUCUAGGAACAUCACAGGCGAUCUCCAGGCGAUGUGCCAAAAUGUAGGACACUGACAACCUAAUGCCUAAUGAUAAUUCAAAUUAUCAUAAAUAUAUUAUUUAAGUAAUACCAUCAGGUCCACAAAGGGUUUUGAAAGUAAAGGCACUAUGGUGGAAUAAUCAGUCAUCAACAUUUUCAUUUCUCCAUUUUCUCUCCUGUUCUCUUCCACUCUUGUCCUUCUCAGGGCUCUAUAAGAAGGUCAGUUUUUCAGAAGUGUAAACGCUGCAGGUUUCUGAGGUAUCGGUGUCCAGGGGAAGCGUGGAGAAGUAUUCUUUGCUCCCUCUCCCUUUGUCUGCCUCUUUCUUGAUCUGGAACUGAUGGCAGUCGUCCGAUGAGAGGAGGCAGUUCGAGGCGCCAUCAACAGAAAACGAGAUCUCACUAUCAACAGGUUCCUAAGACGAAAGAGCAAGCCAAGGAUAAAAAGAAAGAAGAUGAUGUCACUUUAUUGCCCAUUGUGAGACCCUCCAAAAAACCAAUAACAUUAUGUAUUUACCUCUUUACUAAGCGUGUGAGAAGAGGAUGCCUCAACUCUUUCAGACUCCUGUUGUCUCUGUGUUGGCACUGGCACAGUGCAGGGCUUGGGUCCAAGGCCCACUACAAACGGUACACGAUCCACAACUGGAGUGUAACC